GGGAAGAAGACGGGAAACUGGGGAGAUAGACUAGAGAAGGAUGAGUAAGAGUAACUGGUAUGGGUCCGAGGAAGAAACAUGUUCUAUUGGGGUUGUAUUUGCCCUGACAGAGAACCCAUGCAGAAUGUGAAAUGUCUGCUUCCUUUCUCCCCCUCUCCUUCUGUCUCUGCAAGCAGAUAUUAAACCCAAAGUUUUCCUGUUCUUUAAAGACAUAGAGAUAUGGAUAUAGUUUUUGUUUAAUUAGACUGCUUUCUGGCUAAUUAAACUCUGAUCGUGACCGUUUCUAAACUUUGGGCAUCUCUGUUGUGAGAGCCCAGAGAAAAAGGAAGCGAUGAUGGCCACAUACAUAGCUGGAAGUCAAACAGACAGAAGUUUGGGUCCUCGUCUAAAUACUCUACAUCCGAUCUUUUUUAAAGUAUUUUUGUAAGGCGGCUUGUCUGGGUGUUCCCAGAUUGCCCAUCAGUUUCAGGUGCCAGUGGUGAUCUUCAUUGGACCGACCGGAGCUGAGAGUUCAAGCCACGGCAAGUUUGGAGCUAGAAUUCCAGGAAGGACCUUGCAGCCAGCCUGUCAACCUGCCAGUCAGGGAAACCUGAAGAAACCACAGUGCCCAGAACUCAAGCCUAGGGGAGGUUUCAGAGUUGGAAUUGCGACUGUCCUCUAUAGAAACGGAGCUAAGAAUUGGAGUACAAGAAACCCUUUGAAGGAAUCUUUGAAGAGGGAGGGCUGGAGCCAUUUGUAG
rnacentral:lncRNA from 1 species